CGGCUCCAUGAGCUUCACAUCCUCCUGCUAAGGCUGAAAGGAACAAGAACAAGAGCUGCUGAUGGUUCCCAGUCCUGCAUGCUGAAGGAAGUGUGUGCUUCAGCACUGAUUAAAGUCAUGUAUGAGUUAAUGAGAAGCUUGCAGAGUAUGUGAAGCAAGAGAAAAUCUUUAACCAGCUCUGCUGUUCCUUCUACAUACCACAAACUUGCACGCUGUAACCAGAAGGUGGAUUGAAUAUGUGUGAAAUGCUGCAGUAGGAGACUCUUAAAUCGCAUCACAGGUUAACAGAUUGAUAGCACAGAAGAGCCUCUGAGGUGCUGGAGGUACCAGCAGUGGUGUCAACAUUCCAGUUGUGGGACUUCUAAUUUGAGAAACAUAUUGUCAUAAGGAAUAAGAUCGAGGCUGAAUCCUGCUUGCAUUUAGGUCCAAAUGCAAAAUAUGCUUUGGAAGGAGUCCCCAGGGAACAUUGAGAGUAAUUAAGUAAAAAUAAAACCUUUCACUUCAGCCCCCCCCCUUCUCCUUUUAACACAGACAAGUCAAUGCAAUGCUGUUUUCAUUCCACCAUUUUCAUUAUGUGUCCUGAUAUUUCUUAAUUUUGUAUUGCAUCUGAAAUCCUCGAGUGACUUAUAAUUUCUGUGAUUUGGGGGUAUUUCUAGACCAUACUUUUAAAGAAGUCAUCUCACUGUGUCCCAGAAGGAGCCAUUGAACAGUCAUUCUCAUAAACAGCACUGAACUUCUUACAGCCUCGCUUUUCCAAACACCUUUUUUUUCCCCCCCUGUAAUUUUAAUCCUUAACUAUUGAAUUCCCUUUUCUUUACAUUAAGUAAAUAUUUAUUAAUACCAGUUGAGGGGUUUUUUUUCAUCUUUUUAAAAGAACAGAGCCUUGUCACUAAGAUGAUCCUUUCGUAUUGAGGAGAUGACAUAAAAAAGGAGUGAGGGAGAGUUGUCUUGUGCUGGAAAAUGCCAUUUUUGGAAAACAAUACUAUAGGAAAUGGAAAUGAAAAAUACAUUUUAUGCUGGUGGGAACUUGUAAUGAGGCUAAGAGAGGAUUUGAUGUCCCAGAAAAGCAAUGAUUACAAGGGGAAAAGCGGGACUUUAUCAUCCAUUUGUAAAAGUUCUCGGGCUGAAUAUCCUUUUGGGGAGCUGAAAUUUGGCUCAAGUCUGCUUAUGAACAUCUGUUGAAUGGAAUUUUAAAAAGGCACAGAUUAUAAUCUUAGUUUCUGUUGGCUGUUUAAGGUGAUAAAAUAAAGCAAAAUAAAUGGUUCUGCAAGUACAUUUGGGGAGUUUUUUUGUUAAUAAUGAGGUGGGUGAAUGUUCAGUUGUCUCCACUGCUGGUUACCUGGUUGUAUAUGUGUUUCCAUACAUUUUUCUUCAUUGCAUAUAAAAUAUUCCCUCUA